AAGUCGUAACAAGGUUUCCGUAGGUGAACCUUCGGAAGGAUCAUUAUCGAAAUGCAGCGGGGGCAGACGGCCGCAAGGUCGCCGGCCGCCGCGUACACGCAUUCCACCACCCUUGACUUUGAGCACCGUUUUGUUUCCUCGGCAGGGACGCUUGCCAGCGGGGACCCCAUCGAACACUUGCAGUAGCAGUCUUUGUCUGAGAAAAACACAAAAAAUCAAAACUUUCAACAAUGGAUCUCUUGGUUCUG
rnacentral:misc_RNA from 1 species